rnacentral:rRNA from 1 species
AUCGAACGCUGGCGGCAGGCCUAACACAUGCAAGUCGAGCGAGCGGCGGUCGGGAGAGUAAUGUAUGGGGAUCUGCCCGAUAGCGGGGGAUAACUACUGGAUACGGUGGCUAAUACCGCAUACUAUCGGUUGAACCCAUAUGGGAUUGGCUAGUAGGUGGGGUAAAGUCUCACCUGGGCGACGAUCCCUAGCUGGUCUGAGAGGAUGAUGGGCCACACUGGGACUGAGACACGGCCCAGACUCCUACGGGAGGCAGCAGUGGGGAAUAUUGCAAAAUGGGCGCAAGCCUGAUGCAGCCAUGCCGCGGGGAUGAAGAAGGCCUUAGGGUUGUUAAGUACUUUCAGCGGGGAGGCGGUACCCGAAGAAGAAGCACCGGCUAACUCCGUGCCAGCAGCCGCGGUAAUAC